rnacentral:rRNA from 1 species
GACAGAGGGUGCAAACGUUGUUCGGAAUUACUGGGCGUAAAGCGCGUGUAGGCGGCUAAGUAAGUCGGGCGUGAAAUCCCACGGCUCAACCGUGGAAGUGCACUCGAAACUGCGUAGCUAGAGUCCUGGAGAGGAAGGUGGAAUGCUUGGUGUAGAGGUGAAAUUCGUAGAUAUCAAGCGGAACACCGGUGGCGAAGGCGGCCUUCUGGACAGUGACUGACGCUGAGACGCGAAAGCGUGGGGAGCGAACGGG